CAGUCGCCGCGGUAAUACGAAGGUCCCGAGCGUUGUUCGGAAUCACUGGGCGUAAAGGGAGCGUAGGCGGCGUGGUAAGUCAGAUGUGAAAUCCCGGGGCUCAACCCCGGAACUGCAUCCGAUACUGCCAUGCUAGAGGAUUGGAGAGGUAGCUGGAGUUCUUGGUGUAGCAGUGAAAUGCGUGGAGAUCAAGAGGAACACUCGUGGCGAAAGCGAGCUACUGGACAAUAACUGACGCUGAGGCUCGAAGGCCAGGGUAGCGAAAGGGAUUAGAUACCCGCGUAGUCCCUGUCUCUUAUAC
rnacentral:rRNA from 1 species